ensembl:processed_transcript
AGUCUCAGUGCAUUCUAGACAGCCUGUGCUCUGCCCAAGUACGCACUGGGAUGCCUAUCCCUAGAAAACUAAAAGUCAGCUCCAGCCCCUCCACCAUCCACCAUGCAGGGCAAAGUCGACAGAGGCGUGCCUCCCUACUAGAGAACUUUGCCCGCAGCUCGUAGACAGCUUAGACGGGACAACGACCAGGGACAGUGAGCAGACAGGAGCCCUAGGGCUUACUCUUUAGGAAUACCAGUCAGCUGGUGGCUGCCGCUGCUACAACCGACCCAGCCACAGCUGAAAUACCCUCAACCUGGGCAGUGACUACUGUGCUCUACACAGUCAGCGGCUGAAGGGCAGUCACGGGCCAGCCAUUGAAAAUGCUCACGGUACACAUCCCUGCUGACCUUCCCCAAGACCAUGGAGAGGCAGCUGAGUCCUUAGUUUGAGGAAGACAGGAUAACAGCCUGUUCCCGCUGGGAGAGCUGCUAGAGGCCAGUGAGAUGGAGAGAGAGGCUUGCAGAGGUCACUGAUCAAUGGAUCACAGACUCUCAAGCUCAGCAGUGGUGGCCCAGGACUUUAAUAAUUCUAGGACUCAGAAGGCAGAGGGGGCAGAGUUCGAGACCAACCUGGUGGUCUACAGAGCAACGGGACAGCUGGGAGUAUGCAGUGAAACCCUACCUCGAAAAGACAAACAAACAAAAUAUCAUAGAUUCUCCAUCUAUGACACCGCUUGACACCAUCGGGCGGAACGCACAACAGUAAACGCCCCCGCCGCGACCAAUCAGCGAUUGCCGCACACCUCUGCCUUGGCCAAUCCACAGCGGUCUUGCAGUUCCACCCCCUUACCUAGGGUGUGAGGAAGCUGGGGCGCCCCGUGCCCAACCUGGGGAGUGUCCAGAGCCUGUUCCUCCCCCAGCACACCCCCGCGGUGUCCUUCAGCUCCAAACUAAGGAAAACAAAUGCCAGCCUCCUCCCUCUGACCCACAUGUCUCAACUCUA